rnacentral:rRNA from 1 species
UACGAAGGGGGCUAGCGUUGCUCGGAAUGACUGGGCGUAAAGGGCGCGUAGGCGGAUGGCACAGUCAGAUGUGAAAUUCCCGGGCUUAACCUGGGGGCUGCAUUUGAUACGUGUUGUCUUGAGUUCGGAAGAGGGUCGUGGAAUUCCCAGUGUAGAGGUGAAAUUCGUAGAUAUUGGGAAAAACACCGGUGGCGAAGGCGGCGACCUGGUCCGACACUGACGCUGAGGCGCGAAAGCGUGGGGAGCAAACAGG